GUUACCAUAACCAAUAACAACUGACUUCUAAUAAUAGCGUUCAUCCUCCUGGGGACUUAGCCAGAGACAUUAACUGUUCAGAUGUCCUGCAGCUGUCUGGAGACUCCCUGAUCUUUGAUAUUUCAUUUUAAAGGCUGAAAUUCCUUCAUACUUUAGGGGGAAAUCAUGGCUCUCCUCUUCCCACCUCCAUCCCUACCAGCGUCUCCUGGGGUUCCUGAAAGACUUACUUUUCUCCUGAUCGCAUCUUGCUCUGACAUCACACAGGUAAGCAAGGACAUGAUGGGGUUCUUUGGUCUUUCAUGUUUCUUAGAGCACCAUUGUCUUCCUUCUGCAUUCAAAACAAGUUCUGGUUUGAGUGGAAACCAUGGAAAUUGUUGGCUUGUUCUCUCUUUGAGUCCUGCUGAAGUCCCAUGCACCAGGGUCCACUGAAAUUCUGUACCAAUGGGGGUAUUGCAAACACUGACUGUGAAUGGGGAGGCAGAGAACAGUGGAUGUGUUACUACACCUGUCUCCUGUGCUCGGGCACAGGCUCUAUUGUCCUAUCAGACUAACAAUACAGAGAUUCACAGAUAGGAUAUUAACCGUUUUAAGAGGAUGAAAGCAGAACAUUAAAUCUCAAAAGGGAUUCUUUGCUCCUGGGCCCUUAUGUGACUGCACAGUUCACGAGCCUCUGAGUCUAACUCUGGAGAAGUACACCCCUUUUGUCCUUCCUCUCGCUGGCUGGCAGAGCAGGUGUGUGAGGCCGGGGGAAGAAGGGACAGAUCAGAGGGGAACAGAUGAAGACUGCAUGAUGUAAAACCUCUUUCUGAUUCUUCCACUGGAAUCAUCUGCGAUGAUGUUUGUGAACUGGAUUUUCCUUUGGGGAAUGUAAUUAAGUGUUGCAUCAUGCGUCAGGCCUCUUGUGGAACAAAAGUAGAGCCAAAAGAUGGGGCAUUGGUGUGCAGGUUACAUGUGCAGAUUUGGGGCUAGGGAUGCACACACAACAAACAACUUUGAGUAAUUGAACCCUGUUCUUUAACAUCCUUUGCCUGACCUGCCACUGGGAACUUUUCUCUGGUGUGGACUCUCCCAAAUCCUGCCUCCUGGCCUCUCUGGGUCCUCACUCUCUCCAUUAACCCCCCACCCCCAUUGCCUUUGGAAGUGCAAAAUGUUUUCUACUUUAUUUGCAGGGCAGUUAUUCCCACUUCUGAUUGAUCCUGAUCUAAUAGGCCAAAUUAUGCUACCAAGUUAAUUGCUGGAGGAAAGAAAAACAAAACGACAAGCAAAAACGUGGCUUAUUUCCUUUAAGAAUUUGGCUGCCAGUAUUUACAUAAUUAUUUUUCUCCCAAAUACUCUAGUAACAGACUUUCUUGACAUGGUUUUAAAACCCUCAGAAAUCCAUCCCUGCCUCCCUAGGUAAGUGUGGAGACUCUUCCUCUGGUCUCCUAUAAAAUCUUGUGCAUAUCAUACAUAUACCUACAUAUACAUAUAGUCAAAAAUCAACAAAGCCAGACGUUAAAAUGCUAAAAUAGAUUUUAUUCAGCAACUAUUGAUAGCUGAGAAAGAGCUGAGCUCCCUUCCAAUUUGUGCAGUGGUGACUGGGCAUUUCAAAGUGGAAUGAGGGAAUCGGGAGAGGGGUGGUCAGGGAUGUGAAAAAUUACAACAGGUUGGUCAGUUAAAUGCAUCAAGUCAGCUGUGUUUGCUGGCUGGUAAUUGAGGCUGACAAAUGAGGAUUCUGUCCUCCCACAGAAACUGGGGAACAGAGGCCCUAUUCUUCCUGAUGAUUACAUUCCAGAGAAAUCGCUUUCAGGUCCUUGAGAAAGAUGCCACUGCCACAUAUUGUCAAUUGUAAGCCCUUUGUAGUAAAUUGUUAAGCAAGGCAUCUCAUGUGUACAGUCUGCUCAGCCGCAUAAGAAAGGGCCCUGGGCCUGGAACAGUCCUUACCGGGAGAUAAGGGGCCCACACAGUCUGCCCUGGGCUUGUCACCUUGUGUGGGAAUAUCUUCCCGUUUCAGGUGUAAUGUGCUCCUUCUGUGUCAGCAUGUGUCAGCCAUCCUCAGGCACACCUUCAGCCUUCAGUAUUUCCAGCUCCAGGGGAAGAGUGGAGGCCCUUCCACCGCAGCAAAAGAUAGUUUCCAAGUGGAAUCCAAGCACAUCCUACCUAGGUGCUCUGCUUGUGGUCUCCUAGGGCUACAAUCCAGAACUACAAGACCAUUUCUCUCACCCCGAGCCCACCAGGAUGACCCGACCUGCAGUGCCCCAAACUUGUCUGUGUGGCAACAGUGUUUGGUGCCACCGUCCAUCAGAGCAGUGCCUUCUCCAGGGACUAAUUCACCAGAGGCUGCAAGAUCGUCUGCAGGAUGUGCCUCACUGGAGUCAAAGAAGUUGCUGAAAAUUGAAAACAGAACCUCCCCAGUCCUUUGAGUGAUCAACCAGCCUUGGGUGACCUGGCCCGUGCCUAGCUCUCCAGCCUCAGCCCUCUCUGACACCCUCCGACUUGACAUCUCGUGCUUGGGGGCCUGCCCGCAGCCCUGCAGCAGGAAAUGUAAGCAGAGGCAAGUGGCAAACAGGACAGAAUCUGUAGCAUAUAUAAAAAUCCGACAGUUUUCAUGCAUAUGACAUAUGUAAACAGUUACUAUGGAUCAGUAAGCAAAUCAUGAGCUGUCCACAAAUAAAAAUCUAUAUAUAAACAGCCAUCCGAAAACAGAAAAAUAUAUGUAGGGAGAAUAAACAUAAGGGAUAAAAGCCCAACCAUUAUAGUAACAAAAGAAAUACAAAUUAAAAGGGCAAUGAAUAUUUUCUGCCUUUGUAGGUGAAGUAAGGGGUGAAUUAAGACCUCUCCUAUGAGGCUGAUGAAGUGCAGAUUAGCAAAGAUUCCUCAUGGGAAAUUUUACUGCGUGAAAAAAGUCUUUUAAAAUGUGUAAAACAGUGACUAAGCAAUUCCACUGUUACAAAUUUAUCCUGAGGAAAUAAUUAGUAGAUUGAGAAUUUUUUUCACUUUGGGUAUGUAUAACACAGUGUGGUUUCUAAUGGAGAAUACUUAGAAAUAAUCCAAAGUGCCAACAAUUGGGUACUUUUAAAGUAAAUUCCAUACAAUACACUAUACGCAUCUAUUUAAAAGGGAAGUAUGGAAGUAUAACUGUUGACAUGAGACGGAUGUUUGUUCGUAAAUUUUUAAGAGAAAAAAGUUUAUAAAAAUAUGACACUAUUUUUUAUUUCAAAAAAGGUAUAUGUAUGAAAUGACAGGGAGAGUAUACACCAAACCAUAAACACUGGUUAUACCUAGAAUGGACUUGCUGGUGAUGAAAUUUGGGGGAAGCCUUUCUACAUUUUUCCAUCUUUGAACAAUAAUACUGAUUUAUUGGUAUAAUAAAAAGUAGUUUAAAAAUAACUCAAAUAAAAUUGCCGAACUUAGAGUUAUUUAUUAUUGAAGGAAUAGACUUGAGCAACUUAAUUUUUAAAAUAAAGCCAGCCAUUUACUUCAAUCCAGAAGACAUUUAUCCAUCUAAGAGCCAGGCGUGGUUGUGUGUUGGUGUAGGGAACACUGGUAAUUCACACAGUCGCUUAAAUAAACCUUGUUAAAUUACAAA